UUUCCUUUCUUCUUCCCCGAAACACCAAGCACGCAACAGUUAUUUUUUUUUUUUCUCCCCACCGGCCGUCCCUCUCUCUCUUCCGUGUUUUCAAAUUCCGGCCACCCAUAGCCCUCACGCGCCAGCCACCAAGGAAGCCCGCCACCUCACGAGCUUGGCCGCCAAGUUUCACGGCCAGCCGCCGCCGGACGCGCGCCGAUCGGGCCGGAGAAGCCGCCGGCCGGCCAAGUUUCUCUCUCCUCUUUUCUUGUGUUUUCCGGCCAGCCCACUCCCAAUUGAGCCUCCUAUCCCCCUAUUUUGGGUCCUCUGAAUCCAAAAAUGGCCUCCAAUCCCAGAAAUUCGAAGCGGUUUGCGAGAUAUGGGGAAGUGAACACCGGCCGAAACUUUCCGACCAAAUUCCGGCCACCUCCGGCGGAAUUGAGGUCGACGGAGACCGGAUUUGUGAUCCUCGUCCCACGAGCUUCGAUUCGGAGCACCGGUGAGUCGUAGAAUUGAUCCCGUAGUGGAUCAUGGGUUAAUUGCGUGCUCCAGGUUCCAGGUUGUCGGUGUUCAUUCGGAGCGGACUUGAUCUUCCUCGCUGUUUUACUUCGUGAAGUACCCUGUUAUUCUUUUAUUGCAGUUGUAAUAUUUCUUUCACUCUUGUUGUAUUUAUUUUGCACUGGAUUACUGUAUUUAUUUUUUUUAAGUGCUGCAAUUUGUGGAACCAAUUUGUAGUUUGUGGGAGGAAUAAGGGGAUAUUUUUGAAGUGUGUUUUCAGUGCAGGUAAAUUUGUGGUAAGUAAAUCCCUUAGGGGAGGUGCUGCCGGAUUUUCCGUUGGAAGGUUCGGUGGUAUUUCCCUGGGAUCAGGGCUGUCUAGGGUUCCGGAGGAGGAAUUCUGGACGGGUCCUGACAGUUGGUAUCAGAGCUCUAGGUUCUAGUAUUUCGAAGGGACUGUGCAUUGUUGUGUGUCCCAUCCAUGUCUAGUCUCUCGUUUUACCCGUGUGAAAGCUUUCUUUCUAUUUGUCUCGAAGUAAAUUCGUUGCCCGAGUUUGAAUAACUCUAAUCUUCGAGGGUGUCAAUUAGGAUCAUCUAGCCUAACGGGAAAUUCCUAUGGCCUAGUCGAUGGUCGAGGAUGCGUUUUCUUUUUGAAGGUCAAGCUUAUCAUCGUGAAUGGUAUCCGUUUCGUUCAUGGAGAAGAAUGAUGAUUGCCUAAGGAUGUGCGUCGAUCGAUUUCAAGGCGUCAAAAUAUUUUCCCGAUCGAUUAUCAAAAUUUAAAUGCUUUUCAAGGUGUUUUAUUCAAGUAUUUUUGGUUUGUGUUCAUACAUGUAUCUGUAUGUUAUAUUGUUUAAUAUUAUACUGCACCAUAUGGAGGCGGCGAACCAAUGUGGUCCAUGUAGAGCUAGCCCCAUGAUCAUGUUGCCUACGAGCUCGGGGAAUUGGACGGCCAAUAUAGGCAACCACCCUGGUUUGUAUUGGUAACAGAGUGUCGGCGACAGUUGGAAUCAUGGAUUACGUAACAUGUAGAAGGUGUUGUACGUACCUCCAUUACAAGCGUGCAUAUUUUAUUUUAUGCUAUGGAUUUUAAGAUAUGAAUUUCAAUGUGGAGUUUUAACAAUUGCCUAUGCAAGUUAGGUAUAUUUGAAAAAUAUAUUUUAUUAUUUGUUUUAUGUUAUGGUUUUUCCAAGAGCGACUUAAGGGUUAAGUAUCGCCAGUCGAGAAUCCAAAGCAGGGUAUCGUUGAGUUCAAAAAGGAGAUCUUAAAGGAAGCACGCGAUUCAAAGUAUGCGAUACACCCCAAGGGUACCAAGACGUAUGGAAUGCUCACUGGAUGACAUGGUGGUUUGGCAUGAUAAAGGAAGUUGCAAGAUCCGAAUAAAGGUACUUAAGUCACCGACAAGUAAAGUAGGGAGAUGUAAAUAUGGAUUUCGUGCUUAAACUUUCGUUCACAAAGAGAAGGUACGACAGCGUUGUGAGAAUCAAGCAAGAUCCGGAUAGCGACUAAAGUUCUACUUGGUGGUUGAUGAGGUUAAUGAGAUGAGGAUGAUUCCUUAGGCAUG